rnacentral:rRNA from 1 species
UACGAAGGGGGCUAGCGUUGUUCGGAUUUACUGGGCGUAAAGCGCACGUAGGCGGAUUGUUAAGUGAGAGGUGAAAUCCCGGAGCUCAACUCCGGAACUGCCUUUCAUACUGGCAAUUUAGAGUCCGGAAGAGGUGAGUGGAACUCCUAGUGUAGAGGUUGGAAUUCGUAGAUAUUAGGAAGAACACCAGUGGCGAAGGCGGCUCACUGGUCCGGUACUGACGCUGAGGUGCGAAAGCGUGGGGAGCAACAGGAUU